UAACACAUGCAAGUCGAGGGGCAGCAUGCAGGAAGCUUGCUUUCUGUGAUGGCGACCGGCGCACGGGUGCGUAACGCGUAUCCAAUCUACCCUGCACACGGGAAUAGCCCUGCGAAAGUAGGAUUAAUGCCCGAUGUUCUUUUUUUGUUGCAUGACAGAGAAAGCAAAGAUUUAUCGGUACAGGAUGAGGAUGCGUCCCAUUAGGCAGUAGGCGGGGUAACGGCCCACCUAACCGACGAUGGGUAGGGGUUCUGAGAGGAAGGUCCCCCACAUUGGAACUGAGACACGGUCCAAACUCCUACGGGAGGCAGCAGUGAGGAAUAUUGGUCAAUGGUCGCAAGACUGAACCAGCCAAGUAGCGUGCAGGAUGACGGCCUUACAGGUUGUAAACUGCUUUUAUGCGAGGGUAAAGUGUGCUACGUGUGGCAUAUUGCAAGUAUCGCAUGAAUAAGGACCGGCUAAUUCCGUGCCAGCAGCCGCGGUAAUACGGAAGGUCCGGGCGUUAUCCGGAUUUAUUGGGUUUAAAGGGAGCGUAGGCGGGUAUCUAA
rnacentral:rRNA from 1 species